rnacentral:piRNA from 1 species
UGUUAAAUGUUUGGUGCAAAGCAGAACCUUA